rnacentral:lncRNA from 1 species
GGCUAUUGAAUUUUCCCUUAAAAAUCAAAAUUACAAUCUGGAAGAUAUCGUGGAAUUUCCUAGCUACACGGGUUAAUCUACUUCAGAAAAAACUAAUAAACACAACAGUGUGCCCACGAUGUGGAGUCGGAAUAAAGAGUAUGAAUCACCUUUUUUGCGAAUGCCCUGUGUCAAAUCAGUAUGGAAGGAAUUACCAUGUAAUGUUUUGGUGCACGAAAGACAGUUGGAGUUUGCAGAGUGGCUUACCGGAGUUUUUGCGAAGAACUCGGAAUCUCAAUGUAGGAUAUUUUGCUGUGCAUUAUGGGCUAUAUGGGGAGACAGAAAUAACAGAGUGCAUAAUAAAGUGAACAAAUCUGGAAAAGAAAUAGGCCGAUUCGUUAGUAGCUACAUAACAGAGUUGGACGGGAUAGGAAAAAGUAAAGCACAAUCAUAUAAAUUGACAAGCAAAUAGAAGAAGCCACCUGACCAGAUUGUGAAGAUAAACUUUGAUGCAGCAUAUGAUGGAAAGAGU